rnacentral:lncRNA from 1 species
AAAAAAAAAAAAAAAAAAAAAAAAAAAAAAAGAAGGUGUCUCUAUUGUAAAAGGAGAAGUGAAGAAUGAGAACCUGUACUGCAGGUGUUUCCUUAGGAAGACCAAUUUUGGGAAAGUUGAGGUUCUGGAAAUUAAAUCCCUUACAUCUCCCAAGUUCCAGUCCCCGCGGAGGUUUUUUAUGUUCCCCAUUUUGAAAGCUGUAGACUUUGACGACUGGAGAGAAGUGAUGUGGGAUUGUUCAAUGGACGGGUGUUUGCGAUUCUAUGACUCAGCGUUAGGGAUGUAGUAAAUUCUGUGAACCUAGUUAAGCGGCAAGAUGCCCACCACUUGUGGAAAUGGGAGUCUUAGCGAUUGGGACCUUGUUAAUCUUUCUGGUUUCCUCAUAAGCUCACCUCUGGACCCAGCCUUGCCUCCACGACUCCCUCCAACCUCCCUAAACUCAACGAGCAGCCCUCGCAGAGGCUCAAACUCUCCUCCAAGCCCCACCCCAUCAUCGUCCAUCCGCAGACCCUGGGCCUCCACGACAAAGCCCGGCCUCACAGUCAGCACUGACAGCCCUUCGAGGACCCCCUCUGGAGAAGGAGAACCAUUCAGGUCCCAACCGUCUGGUUGGUCAUUAGUUCUGUGGUGAAGCUUGAAAAGCAAAUCAGCAACAAUAGUAAUAAUAAUAACACUUUUGUAUGGCGCGUUGUGCUCAUUUGUACGCAUGUGUUAUAACGAUCGCGG